AAAACAGAAAUGCAGCGAGGUCCUGCUUGAGGGCGACGUGGGUAGCAGCGAGGUGCUGGUUGUCAACAAGGAGGGACUGGAUCUGACAGUGGCGAGCUUCAAUGCAUUCCUCAAGGAUGGCGAUAGGGAGGGCACGUGCGGCGGUGGAGGAGGAAGGGUGGGGGAGACGGUGGUUGACGUCGAGGCGAAAGGCAGAACGAAGCAGAGAAGAAAACAAAGACAGAGAGAGAAGGAGAAGAGGGUGCCAAUGAACCCGCGUCCACUACAAAACCGCGUCGCAACCGCUCCUUCGCAGCCCGACAGUAGGUGCUGCGAAUGUGAUUAUUAUGGCGUUGUUGUACGUAGGGGAUUUGGACCCUGAGGUUGAUAAGAGUGGUUUCGAUUCAACCAGGAAUGGGAGGAGAAACAGGUUUUGGGAGAUGCAGCUUUUAUGAAAUGUUACAACUUUGCUUAGCCGUGAUUGCAGUGUUUAAAGGAGGCACUAAAAGAUUACUUUUGAAGAGAAAUCUGCUCUGGCUAAGGACCAGGAUAAACUUUCAAUAUCAGGGAAAAAAGAAGAAAGUGCACUGGAAGACGUGCAAUAGCUAAAAGGUACUAACAUUUUUUGGAAUUUUUUCUUGGCGUUCGAGCUCUUGGGAAAUUGAUUCGCAACAGUGGAUCCAAAAAGGACAUAUUUGUUAUCAUCUCCGAUGGAGUCUCUGAUUGCCUGCAACCUCCCCCAGGUAACACUAUUCUUUAUAUUUCCUUUCAUUGCGUUUUGCAUUUAUGUUGUUAUUAGAGGAAGAAAAAAAUUGCUGCCCAGGAUGGUUGAUAUUGAUGCUAUAAAUUGAAAUUUUGACAUUAAAUUUCUAUACUUUAUGCCUCAUUUGACAUGAUUGAUAACAUUUUUAUCAAGUCCAAAGAUAUAUUUUAUCUUAGAGUUUAAUUUAACGUUAUUUAUACCACCUCAAUUAUACAGGUAUUUUAAUCACAGGUUGAAAGCAAUCUUUUUUCUCAUUCAGGAUUUUCAUGUGAAACUUAAUCAUGUGAUACUUUGAUGAGAUGGUUUAAAACAAACCAAACCAUGGAGUAGUUUUCUGGACUAUUAGGAGUCCCAGGACAAUAGCAGAAAAUUGGAGAUACUACUGCCCUUGAAGUUAGAGUUGCUUCUCUUGAAAAUGCUAUCGCUCUUGAAGUUGGGUGUUUUUUUAUAAUUUAAAGAAAUUUAGUAAAAGCUAUUUAUAACAACAAUGGUUUUUCCCAUAGGCUAUAGCUUUUUUCUUUCCUAAACAUAAGUUGAGGAGUUGUUUCAUAAAAUGCUGGAGUAAAAUAGCAUCACACUUAAAAUAAGUAGAAAAGUACAGAGAAGUAUUCAAUUGCUCUCUCUUGCCUUUUGUGUUGUUCCUCGCUCCCCUUUUGAUUUGAACUCUUGUGUAUUCCAUUUUCAAGAUUUUAUUUUCAACUUAGAUGAUAACAGAUUGAGCUGUUCACCA